UUCAUCUUUUUGAUUUUGAUAUCGAUUUUGAUACAUAUAAGGUGUCCUACAGAUAAUGCAAAUCGAAGCUAUUUGAUGUCUGACUCAGGCCUAUAUGACCGAUCGAUCGAAAUACUCCAAGAUUCAUGGAAUUACCACGACCUCGGUUGUGACUGA
rnacentral:rRNA from 1 species